rnacentral:pre_miRNA from 1 species
UGCCAUGGGCUAAAGUUGGUACAUGUACCUAGACGGUUGUGUGCAUGUCUGCUAUGGCCCAUCUAGAU